CCUACGGGAGGCAGCAGUGAGGAAUAUUGGUCAAUGGGCGCGAGCCUGAACCAGCCAAGUAGCGUGAAGGAUGACUGCCCUACGGGUUGUAAACCUCUUUUAUAAAGGAAUAAAGUGAGGCACGAGUGCCUUUUUGUAUGUACUUUAUGAAUAAGGAUCGGCUAACUCCGUGCCAGCAGCCGCGGUAAUACGGAGGAUCCGAGCGUUAUCCGGAUUUAUUGGGUUUAAAGGGAGCGUAGAUGGGUUGUUAAGUCAGUUGUGAAAGUUUGCGGCUCAACCGUAGAAUUGCAGUUGAUACUGGCAGCCUUGAGUGCAGUAAGGGUAGGCGGAAUUCGUGGUGUAGCGGUGAAAUGCUUAGAUAUCACGAAGAACUCCGAUUGCGAAGGCAGCUUACUAAACUGCCACUGACAUUGAUGCUCGAAAGUGUGGGUAUCGAACAGGAUUAGAUACCCCUGUAGUC
rnacentral:rRNA from 1 species